ACCCCGACACCCCUCCGGCCGCCCGGCCGUUGCGCUCCCCCGGACCCCGCCCCGCUCUGCGCUGCGCUCCCCCUUCACUUGCCAACGUGUUUCUUUUCCGUUUCCCGCUGCCACGGGGUUGGUUCCCAAGGUCAACUGUCUGCAUUUUCUGGCUUUCUCUUACCGUUAAAAAGAAUUCCAGCCCAUUUUGACGUUUCUUAAUUGGGGAGCCAGGAAAAUGAAAGGCACAGAGGUGGCCUGGUUCUGUCCGCCGGGUUCUGUUUUGCGCCCCCCCCGCCCCCCGCAUCGCGCUUCCGCACCCGCCCCCCGCCCCCACCUCCGCCCUAGUUCAGCUCAACAGGGUCUGUGUGCCGCGGCGGGUGACUACCCUGGGGACGCCGUCACCCCAAGAAGCAGGCCACAGUGAGGGUGGGGGCGAGGGCUUAGGGUUUCUGGGCUUGGGUAUGGGCGGCCGGGGCCUGAUGGAUGCCACACAUCCAUGGUCAACCUGGGUGAGCGCCCACUUCUGAGAUCUAUGUUCCCGGGUGUCCUGUUAAUAAAGUCGGAGCCUGAAGCGCUGUGAUAGGUGAGCGUGAUCCCGGAUCCAGAGUGGUCCACCGCCGUGAUCCGGCCUAGUCGGGUAUAUGGGCACGCCUCCCGCUCUUCUGUCCAGGUGGGACGUUAUACCCAGGUACUUGGCUUCUCCAAGGGAAGAGGAGCCUUUGUGUUCUUCAGAUUUUAACAUGGACGUGACUUUGAAGAUCCGUUUAUAAGUGGAUGAAGAGGAAAAGUAGUGAGUGGUUUUAACUCCGGAGUCAGCCGUUCUUUUGUUGUGAAGGGUGGGCUGAUGCCACCUUCCUUUUCUGGAUUUAAUGACACACGCUGUGUUCCGCGCAGAGUGGUCAGCACAAAUCUUCCGUUAUUACAUGGAUGUCAGUUAGCUGUAAUCUGAAUCAUCCCUCUCGCCACACACCCCCCCUCCCGUUAUGACUCCAAAGUGGAAACAGGUGCUGGUAACACUGCUUAGCAUUAAAGAUCCUUCCUUCAAGUUCUCAUGCCUCAGAUUCACGCUGGCUGUGAAGUUUCUGAGAAGGAAAACUGUAUGUGUGAAAACAUCUGCCUGAAUCACAGCAAGCUGUUUCAGGAAGGAGAACGAAGGGAUAAGACCAUGAGUUUUAGCCCAGCAUAUUUCUAUGCAAUGAAAGCGCUAUAUUUCCUGGCCUCUCUCAUAGCUAGGUGUGGUCAUAUGACCAACUUCUGGCUGAAGACUGGAAGUGCUGUGUGGGAUUUGUGAAAAGUAUCUAUAAAAGGAAGAGAAUGUACCCUUCUUCUGCCACACCUUCUGUUUUCUUGAAUGUGAAUAUUAUGGCUAGAGCUCCAGCAGCCGUAUUGGAUCCAGAGGUAACUUUGGGAAUGGAAGACACUUCUAGCAAUACAGUAAGAUAGGUGGAGCUGGGAUCUCUGAGAGUGUAGAGCUGCCAUGCUAGACUUGGACUGAAUACUUCCAGACACCUUACAAGUGAGAGAGAAAUAGGUGUUUGUUAUUUGCUGCUGAAUCUAAUUGUAACUUUUACACCAGGCUCUGAGUUCCACUUGAAACUCGAGUGUGAUGUACGGGGCUGUUUUGCGGACCUGAUGCGGAUGUUCAUGACUACAAUGGAUAAGACACUGCUUGGGAUUCUAGAGGAGGCCAAAGAAUAGGCAGUACAGGUCCAGAGAAAGGGUUUGAAGAAAGAGUUAAAAUUUAAAGUACCAUUUAUAUUUGGUAACUGCUUGGGCAUCCGAUGACUGCCCACACAUUUGGUGAUUUGCUAGAAAGACUCAUGGGAUUCAGAGAUAUAUAUAGUCAGAGCUAUGAUUUAUUAGUGAAAGAAUAAAUGGCAGGAUAAGCAAGGGAAAAAGAUGUAUUGGAUGGAGUCUGGAAGACUCUAGAUGUGGGCUUCCAAAGUUUUCUCUUAGAGGAUUCGGGGUAGGGUUUCACAGAACAAGCUUCCUCCUCCAGCAGUUAAAUACAGCUGCACAUGCACCGCGUUUCUGCCUGGGGAAGCUUGUUUAAGACUCCGACUUUUUUUAGUAAGGGCUGAUCAGGACUCUUACUGAAAUUUCUGACUCCCAGAAGGAAAGCGGGUGUUUGCCAUAAAUCACAUUUGCAAAAACAACUUAGCCGGGCUGGUAUGGCAGAAUUCAGUGUCCUAGGCACACAAAACAACCUUAUCAAUUGACGUCGGGAGUAUUCUACACACCAAGUUCAAACGGGCUAUUGCAAGGAUCAAUCAUGCAAGCUGGCCCUCCUAGAGAUCACAGCAUCAGGCCUAUCAUGUUAACCUUUUCCUGCAUAAUAACAUGUGGUGUCAAGUGACUGUAGCUUUUUGUGUUCCUGAGGUUUCUUUAGCUUCGUCCACACUCUUUUAUUUUUAAAAUCAUUAGUUUUUUAGAUUUAUUACUUUUAUUUUUGUGUGUGGAUGUAUGUGUAAAUGUCUUUAUUUCACCUUCAUUUUUUUUUUUUAAAGAUUUUAUUUAUUUGAGAGAGAGAACACAUGAGAGGGGAUAGGGUCAGAGGACGAAGCAGACUCCCUGCCGAGCAGGGAGCCCGAUGCGGGACUCGAUCCAGGGACUCCAGGAUCAUGACCUGAGCUGAAGGCAGUCGCUUAACCAACUGAGCCACCCAGGCGCCCCUCACCUUCAUUUUGAAAGAUGUUUUUGCUGGGUAGAGAAUUCUAGAUUCAUUUUUUUGUUUGUUUUUUUUUCUCCUGUCUCCAUUUCCUGCUCCAUCAUCUUUUUGCUUAUAUUGUUCCUGAUGAGAAAUGUGAUGUCAGCUUUGUCUUUGUUCCUGUGUAUGUAACACGUCUUUCUCCUCUGGUUACUUUUAAGAUUUUCUGUUUAUCACUGGUUUUGAGCAAUUUGAUUAUAACUUACCUUGGUGUAGUUUUCUUUGUGUUUCAUGCGCUUAGGAGUCAUUUGGUUUUUGGGGUGCAUAUUUUUAUAGUUUUCAUUUAGUUUGUAAAAAUUUUGGCCGUUAUUUCUUCAAAUUUUUUUCCCUAUCCUU